CCGCCCUCGGCGAAAGGUUGCCAUGUGAGGUGACCUUCUCAAGCAAGACUUGAGAUAGCCGAGGGUGUUUUA
rnacentral:sRNA from 12 species